rnacentral:rRNA from 1 species
UACGUAUGUCCCGAGCGUUAUCCGGAUUUACUGGGCGUAAAGCGAGCGCAGACGGUUGUUUAAGUGUGAUGUGAAAGCCCGGGGCUUAACUUGGGAAUGGCAUUGGAAACUGGUUAACUAGAGUGUUUUAGAGGGAGGUAGAACUCCAUGUGUAGCGGUGAAAUGCGUAGAGAUGUGGAGGAAUACCGGAGGCGAAGGCGGC